ACGGAAGGCAGCAGUCGGGAAUAUUGCGCAAUGGAGGAAACUCUGACGCAGUGACGCCGCGUAUAGGAAGAAGGUUUUCGGAUUGUAAACUAUUGUCGUUAGGGAAGAUAAAAGACAGUACCUAAGGAGGAAGCUCCGGCUAACUACGUGCCAGCAGCCGCGGUAAUACGUAGGGAGCAAGCGUUAUCCGGAUUUAUUGGGUGUAAAGGGUGCGUAGACGGGAAAUUAAGUUAGUUGUGAAAUCCCUCGGCUUAACUGAGGAACUGCAACUAAAACUGGUUUUCUUGAGUGCGGGAGAGGUAAGUGGAAUUCCUAGUGUAGCGGUGAAAUGCGUAGAUAUUAGGAGGAACACCAGUGGCGAAGGCGACUUACUGGACUGUAACUGACGUUGAGGCACGAAAGUGUGGGGGGCAAACAGGAUUAGAUACCCUGGUA
rnacentral:rRNA from 1 species